UACGUAGGGACCGAGCGUUGUCCGGAAUCAUUGGGCGUAAAGAGCGUGUAGGCGGCCUUUUAAGUCCUGCGUGAAAUCCUGCGGCUCAACCGCAGGCGGUCGUGGGAAACUGGGUGGCUAGAGUGCGGGAGAGGAGAGUGGAAUUCCUGGUGUAGCGGUGGAAUGCGCAGAUAUCAGGAAGAACACCCGUGGCGAAGGCGGCUCUCUGGAACGCAACUGACGCUGAGACGCGAAAGCGUGGGGAGCAAACAGG
rnacentral:rRNA from 1 species